rnacentral:lncRNA from 1 species
CAAUAUGGCCGGCCUUAGGGUGUAUUUGGGUUGUUUGGGCCUUUGUGAAUAUUUAGUCAUUAAGUUGUCAUACAACUUAAGUCAAUAGGCUUGACGUUCGAAGCCCAUUGGGCCUUAAAGUCCAAAACUAUCCCGAGGUCUUUAACGAACUUAUUCGUUUGAUUAAUUAACAUAUUAAUUAAUCCUUGCCAUAAAUAAUUAAACCAUUUAAUUAUUCUUACUCAUCUCCAUUGUUUCUUCAAUCUCCACCUUACACGGUGUACGAUCCAUUAGGUUCCUCUUAGCGAGGCAGUGGGCGAUUCAAACUCUUUCAAAUCGAUUGUGAAUUGAAACUUACUUUCAAUUCUCCCUUUAGUGAUUACACACGUUUAGGGCUUUCACAAACCAUGAGUGACACCUAGCAGCAUAUCAUGGUUACCCAAGCUAAUCAGAAGAGGUGGAAAACCUAUUCAGUUUAGGAUUACAAAUGCAAUACGGUCUUUCUCUAAUACAAUACUCUUGACCACAUUGUUUGGUUUGAUAGUUUAUUUAUUCAUGUCUAUUAUCCAAUGUGAUUCGUGUGCUUAUAUGAUUACCUUGAAUGUGAUUUGGAACGCUUUCCUAAAUCUCAUUCAUACUCUGGCCAGAGAUUCUAAUCAUAUCAUAGAGUAUUCUCCCUCAAACAGUUUGAAGGUUAGAGAUCCCUUGUUGCGCAUUCACUUGUCUCCAUGACUAAGUGGCUUAACCCCAACGAUGCCGUGGACACCCUGAUGGGGUGACUUUGACAUAAUCAAAGAUCAAGGACUUAACCACAAGACAACUGUGAUGCCUCAGGUCAAAAGACUACUUUGCAUUAUCCCAACCAUGAGUUCUCAUAUGACAUGAAUAUGAGAACUCUUUGUUGAUCGUGUUCAGUGAACUCAUUCUCUAUUGAGCACCUACGUACUUGUCUUGAUGUCACACACACCAAUGACUCGAGACUAGUCACUCUCCUUGAGAGAAGACAUAGUACGUACUGAUCUUAACGGACUGUCAAUGCCCAAUUGGCAAUCCUAUGAUCAGGAACGUUUAGGAUGUGUUUAUGAAAGAAUGGUCUCAUGAAUCUAAGCAUAUAACAUUUAUAUGAGACGGCUCAAACAAUAAUCUUUGCCCUUUCUAUUAAACUAGAUUAGUUUAACAUGUGAAAUGUCCGUAAAGUAUCAUCAUAUGAUUGGUUUUAGGGCACAUUUCCAACAAUCUCCCACUUGAACUAGAGCCAAUCAGCUUAGUCAUCAGUGAUGAUACCUCUUCUGUAGUCAUUUCAUAAAUGGCUGAAUAGUAGGCCUAGACAAUGGAUAUUUAUAUGUUAUCCAUAGAAGCAAUCUUGAGAAUAACGACGUCACCAUUAUACAUGAUUCUCAAUGAUGUGGUUCAGUCUCUCAUAUGAGUUCGGACCUUGAUGAGACCUUGAUUCCCUGGCUUGAGCUAUCGCCCCAUUAGUGUCAUAGUGUCGAUACACUAGAUACACUUUCUGUUUGGAACCGAAUAGAGAGUUCAUAAAUGAACUUUCACAUCCAAACAACAUUGUUGUAAGCUUCUUUAUGGCAAUAUAUUUUGCAUUCAUAAUGGAACACAUUAAAGUCAUUACUUUAAUGUUUCCAUCCAAAUAUCUCUUAAUAAAGAGAUAUCUGAUUAUCUCUUCAUUCAUAAUGAAGAAACAUCCAAUGAUGAAUUAGAUUCAUAAUCUAAUACAUUUACGCUUGCAUUAUGUUACUCUAAUUCUUCCUCGAUCUUUGAGGAAUUUAUCCUUUAGUAUUUCUUAAAUACUUAAGAACUCACUUGACAGUUGCCAUGGUUCUGAUCCUGGGCUUGCACUGAUAUCGUCUUGUACCGUUCUAGGUACAACUCAUAUCAAUGUUUUUCAUACAAUAUGAAAUACAUAAAUCACCUUUAUGCGUAUGCAUAAAGAAUUCUAUUUACGCAUUAUUUCUUUGGAAGUCAAAAGGGCACGUUCCCUUUGAGAAGGGCAACUUGCUGGUCACACUAGAGUUGUCCUUCUAAUUUCAGUUUAUCAUCAUAUGAGAAACUUCCUAGCAACUUUUGUCUAUUAUUAGGGAUUGAUAUAAUCAAAUUAUAUCUUGAAAUCUAUCAAUAUAGAUUUCCAUCCCAUGUAUAUAGACUAUGUCUCCCAUAUACAUUUUAUCGUUAUAGAAUGCGUAAAGCCAUAACUUUAACGAAGAAAUAUUCUUUUCAUUUCCAAAAUUAAUAUAUCAUAUAUAUAUAUAUUCAUAUAUAUCACAUAUAUAUUUAAAUAUAUAUAUAUAUACAAAUUUAGGAAUAUGAUUAACUCCCACUAAUCUUUUGUAAACCUAGUAAACAAAAGAUUCAUUUACAUCUUUAUGAGAAAUCAAACGAUUUGACCUUUCUCUCAUAAGACACUUAUAGCUCCCACUAGCUUGCUAAGAUCCAUGAUGGAUGGAUCUCUACAACUUACAUGUCUUGUGAUUCAUAGUUUUAGACAUAUAUUAUCAAGACUAUCUUAAUAAUGGUUUCAAAAACCCAUAUUAUGUCCAAACAUUGAAUCACCAUUUAGUUGUAGCUAGCAAUCUUCGAAUUAAUUGAAACCAAGACUAUCUCAAAGAUGGUUUCUUCAAAGUCAACCAUUCUCUUUUAUUGUAGUCACCUUAAGCUACCAAUUAGCUUAUAAAGGUUUCAUUAUUUUGGGUCAAAUGGUACUUUACCAUUUCCUUGAGUAUAUAUCAUAUAUAUACACUCAAUGUAGUCAUAAGGAUUUUCAUUCUUAUUUCUUUCGAAUUAAGAGGUGUAACUCUAUGACAUAGUCAUAAAGUUCAAACCAUUCAACUAAGACGGUUUAUAAAUCAUUCUCGACUACCUUGGAGUUUUUGGUAUAGGAACUAGGUUGUUAUAUUUGUUGAUUACUUUCUUGUCUCUCAAAGUACCCAUUCUUUGAGUUCUAUCUCUCGUUCAUUUGCUCUUAGGCAAAUCAUAUUGUAGGAUUACAAUGAACUACCCAACAAAACAACAUUUGUUAGUUGGUUUAUAGAAGCGAUAUCCAAAAGUUAAUUUAAGGAUAUCCUACAAGGUUGUUAUCAAACAAAUAUUGCUUACAAGCACACAACCCCAAAUCUUAACAUGUUUUAAGAUUUGUCUUUCUUUCCAACUACAUCUUAUGGAGUCAUGAAAAUAUUGGAAGAUCUUCUCAUUGACAAUCAUAUUGUUUUAGAAGUAUAUAUCCUAUAUAUGGGUAAUAGAUAACAUCUAACGAACUAAAUCUUAUUCGAGUUCGUUCUUCUCCUAAUGGAGAAAUACAUUAUCUUAUGAUGCUAUUUUCUUUGAUAUCUUUCAAGGAAACUCAUCUAAAGUGUUACCUUUCCUUGGAUCAAAUCUAAGGAGGUAAAUACUUUAGAUGUCUUACUCAUCAACUUACAUUUCUUAAAUUCUUUGAAACUUUUUGCAAAAUAUUCGGACUUGUGUUUAUUCAAAAUAAACUAUAGUCCAACCGAGAGUGAUCUUCAGUGAAUGUCAUCCAACAUGAGUAGUAUUAUGUUGUGGACAAGUGCCACUAACAUCUAAGUGAAUUAACCUCAACAACUUUGUGAUUCUUUCUUCUUUCCAAAAGAAUAAAGAUUCAAACAUUUCGCCUCUAUAAAAUUUUAACAAGAAGGUAUUGGAUCCGGAUCUACCGAUCCAAAGCAUCCAUCUAUCACCAACUCGUAACUUAUGUUUUAGAGGUAUCACAACUUAGUUGGGAUUAGUCACUACCUUGCAACCUUUUGGGUUUUAAGCAUCAUUAUAUUCUAAACAGUUAACACCACCAUAUUAUCUCUACUAUAGAGACAAUCAAUUAGAUUACCAUAAUCCAAUCAUUGAUUAAUAAAGAACAAUGUUUCGUCAAACAAAACAUUUAUCCAUUUCACAUAGUGACGGAAUUUAGUUCCUUAAAAUUGGAAUAUAAAGACAAUCUAUGUUUUUCCAAUUUCUUUGGUAGUUCAUAUGAGGAAGUAAGUACCAUCUGCUUUCGCAGAGAUCUAUAUUUGAUUCAUGUUCCGAAUGUGAAGCACCUUUUCUUCUCUCAUAUAUCUUCUACUUCUUAUUAGUCACACUUUUACAACGAUUGUAAAACAUAGUUACUAAUACAGAAUCAAGCAUUCAAGUAGAAGAACUAACUGUUUUGAACCAUUCAAGAACAAUUUACAACACCUUCGAAAGGUGUGUUCUUGACACUUGCAAGACAUUUCUUGCAAAUACCCCUUCCAAUGUCCAUCCUUUCAUAAAGAAAGUUUGUUCCCUUGGAGUUAAUUUUAUCUUCUUCAUUUGACUUCUCCUUUGACUACAAUAGUCAUGGUCCCUAAACUCCCACUAUCUCUCUUGAAACUUAUUUCAAUUGUGUUAUACACAUCAAACAUUUUGGAGAGCAUGUGGUUUAUUGUUUACUACAUAGUUUACAAUAAACUUAGUGAACCAUUAGGAUAGGAGCACAUAGGUGAAGUCCUUGCCUAGUUCCCGUCUCUAGAAGUGUUUUAAAACUUCAACACUCAAUGAUUCAAAAUCAUCAUAUGUCCAUGUUGAUGGACUAUUUUUGUCAACCAACCAUUAUGUUCUAAACAUAAUUACAAACUUUCAAGAGUUGUACAAGGCAACUCUCAUUUCUUCAUACAUCGAAUUGUAAGUGAAGAAUCAUGGCACAUUAAGUGUCCAUGCCUUUGUGCUUUCUUCUCAAGUUCCUUGUUUAUAUAACAAAGAAACAAGCACUAAGUGUUUGCAUUGACUAAGAGUUGUUCAAAGCAACUCCUAUUUCUUCAUACAACGAUUUGUAAGUGAAGAAUUAUGACAUUAAAAGUGUUGUCCUCUUUAUGAUAGACUUUUUCUAACAUAUUCUUCUAAUGAUACAUUAUCAAUAGGAAGAUUGUGAGGAUGAGACUACUUAGGUACAUUUACAAGCCAUUAAAGACAAUCUAUGGUUUUGUAGUACCAAGUCCGGAAACUAAAGCUUUCGGCUUUUAUUUGUCAAGUGUUGGAUAGCGUUUGCAAAUAUAUUGGUAAACAAAUACAUAACAAAUAUAAAUUGAUUGAUUUUAAGCCAUUUGAUUCGGGUCUUUAAAUCAAAUAGCACCACCCACUAGUUUUGGCAAAUUCCAUAUCCCUCAUUGGAAUUCGAGAGUUUUGGAUGAAACUCUUAGUAGGGUAUGGGAGGCUCACUACUACCAAGCCCACCUCAGAAGAAAAUCAUAUUGGCUAGCGUUAAUAAUAAUGAGAGAGUAUGCUUACUCAUUUGCAUCUCUUGCAAGUACCCAUCUAGUUUGGCCUCUAAAGAAUGAUGCCUCAGAAGAAUAUCAUAUUGGCACAUUGCACUUAGUUAAGUCAUUCCCACCAUGCUAGUUCAAGUAGGGGUUCAAGAAUGGCCUCAGAAGAAUAUCAUAUUGACCACACUCGUUGCCUACCUUCACUUCAUCAUAUGUGUAUAGGCUUCUCCUGAAUGUAAGCACAAACUUUGCAACCCCAGAACUGGACGAAUACGGUGUAUGAGUCACAAACGAUUGAAGCCCACCACGGUGGAAGGCCACGAAAGAGUGUUCAAAGCACUCUCACGCUUAUCAACUUAAUAAGGGUUUGGUUGAGGGUUUUAGGUCUCAUCACAUAUAAACAUACAUUUUAAUCUCUAUUAAAACAAUUUUGGUCCUAUUACAACUAUUGGUCCAUAUGAUUGUUUUUAGUUGUAUGUAAUACUCCCACUAUGCUUAUAAAACGGUUUUUAAAGCAAGAGUAUAUGAUACUACUAACAUAAUCUUUGCAUUCAUUUGAUGGACUAUAUAGUUGCCUUAGGGCCUUAGGAUGACUAUGAACCUUUGUUUAGAUUCAACACGAGCCUUGUGUUGAAUCUCGGUCUAGGGAUGGGGAUUGAUUUUAGUUACGCGUUUAAUCACAUUAAGGCGUGUUGUCUUAGGGGCGUUGGACCCAACUACUUCAUUUUCAUGCAUAUCAAAUAAAGCAAGAAAGAAGUACUUCAAAGUAAAGGUGAGCUUAUGCUCAUUACAACAUUUGCAUAAUACAAAUUACUUUAAAGUAAAGAAGAGCUUAAGCCCUUUUACAACAUUUGAUCAAAUCAAAUUACAACCAAAAUCUAAUCUACUCAUUCCCAUGGUUCAAACAAAUUUGAAACGGCCUAUCACAUAGCUCAAUUAUCGUAGGCUUAGGUUCAUAAUCACCCUUUAAUUAAUUAACACUUUAACUAAUUAAAUUGAAUGCAACAUUUUCAUUUGGUUUUUGUAUCCAUAAAAUUGAUUUAAAUGGAGCUAAACAAAAUGAAAAUCCAAUUCUCAUUUAAAGAGACAAAACAAUUUUGUUCUCUACUUAAUUUGGGCCAUCUUGCAAUAACCACAACAUUUGGGCUAUAUUGCGAAAACAUAAACUUUUGGGGUCACUUUGUAAAAACACAAAAGUUCACUACUUCAUGUAAAUACAACUAGAACCCAAAAUUUAAACAAUGUAAAAACUUCAUUAAAGGAGCAAAACAAUUUGUUAUUUAGCGUUUUUGGACCUAAACGUAAAAACGUAAACUUUUGGGCCAAAGUGCAAAUACACAAAAGUAUCAAAACUUUAUGUAAUUGCAUAAAAGCCCCAAAAGUACUCCCACUUGAGGGAGGGCCGAUUUUUAGAGAGAAAAAGGGAGUGGAGAUAAGUCCACAAAAAUUUGGAAAUUUUUCAAUAAUGUCAUAAAGCCUUGCAAGUGGAAUUUGGUUGUUGUGAAUCAUAAAACCAUGCAUGUGGUGUGUAAGGUGUGUAAGGUGUGCAAGUCUUACACACCCAUCACAAUUUCUAUCACCUUUCAAAAAUAAUAAAUGUUUUGAUGAUAGAUAUUUCACACCAAUCAACACAAAACAAAGACUUUAUGAAAUUAAUCAAAACUUUGAAUCAAAACACAUAACUUUUUGUUCUUGGCAAAAAUGUCAAGAACAAUGAAGAACACUCAUGAAAAACCCAAAAUUUUUCCAUGAACAUUUUUCACCCAAAAACAUUCCAAAACCAUUCAAACUUUAGGGAAAUAACAUAUAACCAAACUAGGGUACAUAGGGGUUCCAAAAGUCACUUGAAAACACUUUUAACAAGUCAAACAAGAACCCAAAAAUCCACCCUUUGGAUUUGGCAGAAAAUCCCCAAAGUCAUGGCACCAAAUUUUAGCUCCAAUAUUCAUGCUCUUAUGAACUACAUCUACAACAUUUGAGAUGGCAAAUUUUCCAACAAAAUUUACAUUCAAAGAAACAAGAAUAAAGCUUGUAACAUAUUACAACUUUUAAAUCACAAACUAUGAACUACAUAACCCAAAAGGAUUCACCAACUACUAGACCUAGGCUCUGAUACCACUUGAAGGAUUAUUUUGUGAAAACAUGUUCAUUUAAGCAACAUCUAUAAACAUGCAAUUAACAAUUAAAGGCGGAAUCAUGCUUGCAUGCACUUAAAAAUAAAACAUUACCCCAUGAAAUUCAAAGCCUAGUAGAUUGGUGAACCAAAACUCAACUCAAAACAAAGUGAGUUGAAAUUGUAUACCUUUGUAGAUUUCUCUUUGCAUAAGCAAAGGCUAAUCACCCAAAGAGAGGGCCUUCAUUCCUUGCAUCUAAAAUCUAUGGAUUUGGAUGGAAGAAUAGGUUUCUCCAAGUUCCCAAAAUUGAGAACCUCUAAGUCUCUUCACCAAGGUUAGAUUGGAGAAGAAAUGAGUGACCAUGGAGUAGUGGGAUUGCUAGAUGCACCCUCCAAGGGGCCGGCCUCUUUAGAGAGAAAUGGAGAGACAUGUUCUCUCCAAUUUUCCCCAAAACAAACCCUAAAUGAAUUUUGGCUAUAAAGUCAUAUUUAUACCUUUAUUCAUUUGAGUGGCAAACUUGUAAAUAAGUCCAAGUUCACUACCCUUAACAAUAUGGCCGGCCUUAGGGUGUAUUUGGGUUGCUUGGGCCUUUGUGAAUAUUUAGUCAUUAAGUUGUCAUACAACUUAAGCCAAUGGGCUUGACGUUCGAAGCCCAUUGGGCCUUAAAGUCCAAAACUAUCCCGAGGUCUUUAACGAACUUAUUCGUUUGAUUAAUUAACAUAUUAAUUAAUCCUUGCCAUAAAUAAAUGAUAAACCAUUUAAUUAUUCUUACUCAUCUCCAUUGUUUCUUCAAUCUCCACCUUACACGGUGUACGAUCCAUUAGGUUCCUUUUAGCGAGGCAAUGGGCGAUUCAAACUCUUUCAAAUCGAUUGUGAAUUGAAACUUACUUUCAAUUCUCCCUUUAGUGAUUACACACGUUUAGGGCUUCCACAAACCAUGAGUGACACCUAGCAGCAUAUCAUGGUUACCCAAGCUAAUCAGAAGAGGUGGAAAACCUAUUCAGUUUAGGAUUACAAAUGCAAUACGGUCUUUCUCUAAUACAAUACUCUUGACCACAUUGUUUGGUUUGAUAGUUUAUUUAUUCAUGUCUAUUAUCCAAUGUGAUUCGUGUGCUUAUAUGAUUACCUUGAAUGUGAUUUGGAACGCUUUCCUAAAUCUCAUUCAUACUCUGGCCAGAGAUUCUAAUCAUAUCAUAGAGUAUUCUCCCUCAAACGGUUUGAAGGUUAGAGAUCCCUUGUUGCACAUGCACUUGUCUCCAUGACUAAGUGCCUUAACCCCAACGAUGCCGUGGACACCCCGAUGGGGUGACUUUGACAUAAU